CAUCGCCCCAGUUCUAGGUUCUGUUCCACGAACACAGUCCGCUCCGCCGCCUGCAGGUCCCGUGUUCAGUGCGGCCUGAAUAUACUACACAGACUGCGGUCGUGGGCUGGGUCCGUGUCCUGCAGUUUGCAAGGAACAGCUGCAGCUGUCAGAAGUUCUUUUUUAAAGCUCUCAUUUCAUUUUGCACCCAACGUAGGCAGUACCUGCUGCUUUAAAAAAUCUUAUUCAAUCCCCACCAUAAUCACAGACUAUCAGUAUCUCGUUUUACAGAUAAGGCAACAUGCUCAGAGAGGGAAGGUCAAUUUCUAGUAAUUCUGAGAGGUGUGUUGGCCACAGUAUUUCCACCCUGCAGACUGCGCGGGGACACAGGGCGGUCCUCUGGGCAGUGACAAUCCAGCGUGGUAAAUGCUGUUACAGCCUAAAACAGGAGGAAUACUUCGGGAAGGACAGGUGCCUAAGAUGAGCCCAGAGGGUGUCAGACCAAGGGGUGGGAGGGGAUGGCCUAGGCGGAGCUCCUGAAGGGAGCACGAAGGCCUGCUUCCUGUGGUUUACAUGCACCUCAGGGGAAACCUGCUGCUGGGCAGCAGAGUAGAGAAUGGACUGGGGGGCCGUGGGGUGGGUGGGUGGAGAGAAGGGGCUGGUCCCGGAGAGGGAGGGAGGCUCCCUGAGCUAGGUAAGGGCCACGUGAAUGGAGUCGUAGGCUGAUUCAGUAACCGUUCAGGGGGAAUUUGUAGCACCUGGUAACAUGGACUUGGGUGAGAGGAAGAACGGAAAAAACAAGGGCAAUAGCAGGUUUCUGCUUAUGGGGUGGCGCCAUUCACUCGACCUCGGGGCAGGAGGAUGAGGAGGUUUGUGGAGUCAUUCAUUCAAGGAACACGCAACGACUGAGUCCCUGUGCUGUGGUCGUAGUGUUUUAGGUUCUGGGGAAUGGGGACCGCGAGAGGCCAAGUCCCUGCCCUCAUGGAAUUUACAGCCAACAAAAACGACCAUUAUCAAAUAUACAAUCACUCACGUGAGCCUAGUGGUGAAAUGCUCUGAAGGGGCCAUAAAGCCGAGUAAGAGAAGAGGGUUGAGGGAAAGUUGGAUGUUCUUGGGAUAGGGAGGGUCAGGGAGGCCUUGGAGGGGUGAGCAGUGGGGAAGACCCAGAAUGGAGGGGAGGGGCGGGGGCGGGGUGGUGAGACGCUCUUACAGCGGCCAAGUGGAGAUGUUGCGGGUGACUGGAGCUGAGGGUGAAGAGCCGGGAGCCAGUGGCGGCGGGUGAGGCGGUGAGAACGCAUCUGCCCCGAGAGCGCAUGGAGCGAGGCGGGCGCCCCCCCCACCCCGAGAGCCCCGAAGAGCCCCAGGGUGAAGAGGAAGGGAACUGGCGAAGGAAGCCUGGUUACAGGCCGUCUUUCUGGGAAGCCUGCAGAGCACCGCACCUUGGCCGUCUCACCUAACAUGGCCGUCUCGCCCUGUGGACAGCGUAAUUGUUAUCAUUUUGAAGGAUGAGCUGGCUGAAGCUAAAAGACUGGCUAAGGGCCCUCAUACGUGUAGGCGGAGGAGGGACCGGAACCAGCACCCGGACUCCAGGUCAACGCCUGUAGCCGCUCUGCCCGCUGCCUGCUGAGCAGUGGCCAGCGAAGCGGGAGUCCCAGGUGCUGCAGGGAGGCCUGAGCGAGGUCAGCACGGACUCCUCCGUCAGCACCUGGCGUCUGUCGGAGGCCCGUCUGGGGAUGCAAAGCAGUUAAAAUCCUAACCUGUGAUUAAUCUGACACUGUUGUACGAAGGCUUCAGCUGGAGCGGUGAUGGAGCACAAGAGGGAGGAAGAGAAGUGCUCAAACCUUAGUCAGCACCGUGGACCACUGUGAAAUCUGAGAAAGGCACGUUAUCAGCUGAACGAGGGGAUGAGUCCCACGCACAAACAUGAGGGAACCUUGAGGAUCAUGGAUUUGUGACAAACCCCGUCGGAGCCAGACUGCGGCACCAACGCCCAAGCGCCCCUUCCGGUGACUGUCAAUCCAGCAGCACCCCGAAGAGAGCAGGCGGCGAUUUCCCCGCAGCUGAGGGGGCGGAGCUGCCGCUCCCAAGACCACACAGAGCCCGGUGUCGUUUCUUUAAUAUAUAAUUUUAUUUCUGGUUAUAGAAACAAAUGCUAAGAGGAGAAACAAAACUUCCCCAUCCACAUACAACGAUUUAAUAGAUAAAAGAACAGUUAAAAUAAAUGAGAAACAAAAAGUAGAAAUUUUAAACUUUGUUAUAGCUUUAAAACAUUAACGUCUGGUACAAUUAGAAAUCACAUUCAGAUCUCAAACUUUAAAAAAAAAAAUACUGUAUCCCAUUUGAAAUGAAAACGCAGGCCGGCCCAGCUGCGGUGGGCCCCACCCCGUCCGCUCGUCCCCGUGCCGGGGUUUGUGCCGACCCUCCUGGGUGUCCCACAGGCCCGAUCACUCUCUACCAUCCAACGCUCUGGGACCUAAUUCACUGUACAGGAUACCACCACUUUUUAAAGCACUGAUGAUUAAACAUAUCGUGAAAAACACUCUAGACAGACACCAUUAAAAAAAAAAAAAA